UGAUCACCGAAGUUAAGCAACGUCGAGCAUGGUCACUACUUAGAUGGGUGACCGCUUGGAAAUAGCAAGUGCUGUAAG